rnacentral:rRNA from 1 species
AUUGAACGCUGGCGGCAGGCCUAACACAUGCAAGUCGAACGAACCCGCAAGGGUGAGUGGCGAAAGGGUUAGUAAUACGAUCGAACGUACCCCGAGGUGGUGGAUAGCUGCGGGAAACUGCAGGUAAUACACCAUGAUCUCUACGGAGCAAAGUUUUAACGCCUUGGGAGCGGCGAUCGUCCUAUCAGGUAGUUGGUGGGGUAAAGGCCUACCAAGCCGAAGACGGGUAGCGGGUGUGAGAGCACGGCCCGCAACAUCGGAACUGAGACACUGUCCGGACUCCUACGGGAGGCUGCAGUAACGAAUCUUCCGCAAUGGGCGCAAGCCUGACGGAGCAAUGCCGCGUGUGGGAUGAAGCGUCUCUGACGUGUAAACCACUGUCAGGGGUUGGAACCAAUGAUCGACCCCAGAGGAAGUGGCGACUAACUCUGUGCCAGCAGCCGCGGUAAU